rnacentral:rRNA from 1 species
UAACGCGUGGGAAUCUGCCCUUAGGUACGGAAUAACUCAGGGAAACUUGAGCUAAUACCGUAUAAUGACUCCGGUCCAAAGAUUUAUCGCCUGAGGAUGAGCCCGCGACGGAUUAGCUAGUUGGUGAGGUAAGAGCUCACCAAGGCGACGAUCCGUAGCUGGUCUGAGAGGAUGAUCAGCCACACUGGGACUGAGACACGGCCCAGACUCCUACGGGAGGCAGCAGUGGGGAAUAUUGGACAAUGGGCGAAAGCCUGAUCCAGCAAUGCCGCGUUAGUGAUGAAGGCCUUAGGGUUGU